GAUGAACGCUGGCGGCGUGCCUAAUACAUGCAAGUCGAGCGAACAGAUGAGGAGCUUGCUCCUCUGACGUUAGCGUCGGACGGGUGAGUAACACGUGGAUAACCUACCUAUAAGACUGGGAUAACUUCGGGAAACCGGAGCUAAUACCGGAUAAUAUAUUGAACCGCAUGGUUCAAUAGUGAAAGACGGUUUUGCUGUCACUUAUAGAUGGAUCCGCGCCGCAUUAGCUAGUUGGUAAGGUAACGGCUUACCAAGGCAACGAUGCGUAGCCGACCUGAGAGGGUGAUCGGCCACACUGGAACUGAGACACGGUCCAGACUCCUACGGGAGGCAGCAGUAGGGAAUCUUCCGCAAUGGGCGAAAGCCUGACGGAGCAACGCCGCGUGAGUGAUGAAGGUCUUCGGAUCGUAAAACUCUGUUAUUAGGGAAGAACAAAUGUGUAAGUAACUAUGCACGUCUUGACGGUACCUAAUCAGAAAGCCACGGCUAACUACGUG
rnacentral:rRNA from 1 species